GAGUUUGAUCCUGGCUCAGAGUGAACGCUGGCGGUAGGCCUAACACAUGCAAGUCGAACGGCAGCACAGGAGAGCUUGCUCUCUGGGUGGCGAGUGGCGGACGGGUGAGGAAUACAUCGGAAUCUACUCUGUCGUGGGGGAUAACGUAGGGAAACUUACGCUAAUACCGCAUACGACCUACGGGUGAAAGCAGGGGAUCUUCGGACCUUGCGCGAUUGAAUGAGCCGAUGUCGGAUUAGCUAGUUGGCGGGGUAAAGGCCCACCAAGGCGACGAUCCGUAGCUGGUCUGAGAGGAUGAUCAGCCACACUGGAACUGAGACACGGUCCAGACUCCUACGGGAGGCAGCAGUGGGGAAUAUUGGACAAUGGGCGCGAGCCUGAUCCAGCCAUACCGCGUGGGUGAAGAAGGCCUUCGGGUUGUAAAGCCCUUUUGUUGGGAAAGAAAUCCAGCUGGCUAAUACCCGGUUGGGAUGACGGUACCCAAAGAAUAAGCACCGGCUAACUUCGUGCCAGCAGCCGCGGUAAUACGAAGGGUGCAAGCGUUACUCGGAAUUACUGGGCGUAAAGCGUGCGUAGGUGGUUAUUUAAGUCCGUUGUGAAA
rnacentral:rRNA from 1 species